rnacentral:tRNA from 1 species
GGAGGGGUGGCAGAGUGGACGAAUGCAGCGGUCUUGAAAACCGCCGUGGCGCAAGCCACCGUGGGUUCGAAUCCCACCCCCUCCGCCA